rnacentral:rRNA from 1 species
AUGAACGCUGGCGGCGUGCCUCAUCCAUGCAAGUCGAGCGAACAGACGAGGAGCUUGCUCCUCUGACGUUAGCGGCGGACGGGUGAGUAACACGUGGAUAACCUACCUAUAAGACUGGGACAACUUCGGGAAACCGGAGCUAAUACCGGAUAAUAUAUUGAACCGCAUGGUUCAAUAGUGAAAGACGGUUUUGCUGUCACUUAUAGAUGGAUCCGCGCCGCAUUAGCUAGUUGGUAAGGUAACGGCUUACCAAGGCAACGAUGCGUAGCCGACCUGAGAGGGUGAUCGGCCACACUGGAACUGAGACACGGUCCAGACUCCUACGGGAGGCAGCAGUAGGGAAUCUUCCGCAAUGGGCGAAAGCCUGACGGAGCAACGCCGCGUGAGUGAUGAAGGUCUUCGGAUCGUAAAACUCUGUUAUUAGGGAAGAACAAAUGUGUAAGUAACUAUGCACGUCUUGACGGUACCUAAUCAGAAAGCCACGGCUAACUACGUG